rnacentral:lncRNA from 1 species
UUUUUUUGUUUGGCAAGAGGCUGGGCUAUGUGUCAGGUCUGCACUUCUUGUGCCUGUGAAAAUUGACCUAAAUUUGGCCAAGUCAGGAGCCUUUAAAAAAGAAUCUCACUUCUCAUGUUCUGGGGAGUUGUGCUGAACUUCAACAGUAAAAUAAAACAGUGGGUGGGAGAAUGACAGAGGCUGGAUGAGAUGAUGGGAGAGAGGGGACAUAAACAGGAAACUAGAACUGGCCUUAUGAAGGUGUUGAAUUGGCUGUGGGGGAGUAGAGAAAGAUUUACCUAAACAGUUUGAUGUGCGUGGGGGCAAAUAUAUUGGACAAACAAAACAGAAAUGACAGGAUGUAUGGGAAGUGAGAAACUGAGACUGAGCAAGAGAUGUUCCCUACAGGACUGGAGAGAUUAACUCCUCCAUCUUCUAGGAUAUUAUAAAAAUAAGAAAGAAAUUAUGAGGUUCUAUCAUGAUGAAAAUCAUAGAUAACUAUAGAAUAAAGUAAUAUUUUCCCUCUUCAGGUUUGGCCAGCUUACAGUGAAUAUGACUUUGGAACAUGCAAGAAACUAGAGAAGAAAAGGAAUUGAGCUGCUGUUGCUUUAAAAGAUUGCAGGCAUGUGGAUGAACUGCAGGAUCAAAACUUUCCAUUCCAAUUGGAAUAACAAGAAAAGUCAUCUCACGCGCUGGGACACACUUUGGUUUCAUCAGCUGCCUUCUUUUGAUCUGCAGCACCGCACAAGCGCUGAGCCGAAAACUCCUGUUAACUAGGGUGACAAGUUUCCAGCAAGCUUUGGAUCACGGGGAGAGGGAACACCCGGAUCCCGGCAAUAUAAGGUAUAGACGCCUCUGCUUGUGCAACACAGCAGCGGGGCAGAGCCCAUUUUAUUCUUGCCUUUUUUGGAUCCGCACGCACACAGCGCUCGGCACAAUGGAGCCGGCUCGGCGAUAGCGCAGGAAUAAAGCCGCCGCAGCGCCGCUCGCCAAGGGUGCGACUGCCGACCCCCCCCCCCCCCCCCCCCCCCCCCCCCCCCCCCCCCCCCCCCCCCCCCCCCCCCCCCCCCCCCCC